rnacentral:rRNA from 1 species
CCUUACGGGUGGCUGCAGUGGGGAAUAUUGCACAAUGGGCGCAAGCCUGAUGCAGCCAUGCCGCGUGUGUGAAGAAGGCCUUCGGGUUGUAAAGCACUUUCAGCGGGGAGGAAGGCGGUGAGGUUAAUAACCUCAUCGAUUGACGUUACCCGCAGAAGAAGCACCGGCUAACUCCGUGCCAGCAGCCGCGGUAAUACGGAGGGUGCAAGCGUUAAUCGGAAUUACUGGGCGUAAAGCGCACGCAGGCGGUCUGUCAAGUCGGAUGUGAAAUCCCCGGGCUCAACCUGGGAACUGCAUUCGAAACUGGCAGGCUAGAGUCUUGUAGAGGGGGGUAGAAUUCCAGGUGUAGCGGUGAAAUGCGUAGAGAUCUGGAGGAAUACCGGUGGCGAAGGCGGCCCCCUGGACAAAGACUGACGCUCAGGUGCGAAAGCGUGGGGAGCAAACAGGAUUAGAUACCUAGUAGUC